rnacentral:rRNA from 1 species
GACGAACGCUGGCGGCGUGCUUAACACAUGCAAGUCGAACGAAGUGGCGAACGGGUGAGUAAAGCGUAAUCAACCUGCCCUGCAGAGGGGGACAACAGUUGGAAACGACAGCUAAUACCGCAUACGGAAGGAGGGGAUUGCGUCUGAUGAGCUAGUAGGAGGGUUAACGGCCCACCAAGGCGAUGAUCAGUAGCCGGUCUGAGAGGAUGAACGGCAACAUUGGGACUGAGACACGGCCCAGACUCCUACGGGAGGCAGCAGUGGGGAAUCUUCCGCAAUGGACGAAAGUCUGACGGAGCAACGCCGCGUGAGUGAUGACGGCCUUCGGGUUGUAAAGCUCUGUUAAUCGGGACGCGGUACCGGAAUAGAAAGCCACGGCUAACUACGUGCCAGCAGCCGCGGUAAUUC